CUACGGGGUGCAGCAGUGGGGAAUCUUAGACAAUGGGGGAAACCCUGAUCUAGCCAUGCCGCGUGAGCGACGACGGCCCUAGGGUUGUAAAGCUCUUUCAGCAGGGAAGAUAAUGACGGUACCUGCAGAAGAAGUCCCGGCUAACUCCGUGCCAGCAGCCGCGGUAAUACGGAGGGGACUAGCGUUGUUCGGGAUUACUGGGCGUAAAGCGCGCGUAGGCGGAUUGUUAAGUCGGGGGUGAAAUCCCGGGGCUCAACCCCGGAACUGCCCUCGAUACUGGCAGUCUUGAGUUCGAGAGAGGUGAGUGGAAUUCCGAGUGUAGAGGUGAAAUUCGUAGAUAUUCGGAGGAACACCAGUGGCGAAGGCGGCUCACUGGCUCGAUACUGACGCUGAGGUGCGAAAGCGUGGGGAGCAAACAGGAUUAGAUACCCCAGUAGUC
rnacentral:rRNA from 1 species